rnacentral:ncRNA from 1 species
UUGGACUACGCUAAUAGUCUAAGUCCUUCGAGGGCUACGUUAUUUUGGUUAAGACACCUACGGAUACUCCUCAAGUCUGUAGCCCUGUCGUUUCUUAGAGUCAGGGAAUAGUGUGACUAGCUGAACAAGCCUUAAUAACUUUGACGGAGAGGAUCAACCUGUUUUUUUGUGUGUUUCAGG